rnacentral:rRNA from 1 species
AGAGUUUGAUCAUGGCUCAGGAUGAACGCUAGCGGCAGGCCUAACACAUGCAAGUCGAGGGGUAGAAGUCUUCGGACUUUGAGACCGGCGCACGGGUGCGUAACGCGUAUGCAAUCUACCUUGUACAGAGGGAUAGCCCAGAGAAAUUUGGAUUAAUACCUCAUAGUAUAAUUGAAUGGCAUCAUUUGAUUAUUAAAGUUCCAACGGUACAAGAUGAGCAUGCGUCCCAUUAGUUAGUUGGUAAGGUAACGGCUUACCAAGACAAUGAUGGGUAGGGGUCCUGAGAGGGAGAUCCCCCACACUGGUACUGAGACACGGACCAGACUCCUACGGGAGGCAGCAGUGAGGAAUAUUGGUCAAUGGGCGCAAGCCUGAACCAGCCAUGCCGCGUGCAGGAUGAAGCAUCUAUGGUGUGUAAACUGCUUUUAUACAGGAAGAAACACUCCCUCGUGAGGGAGCUUGACGGUACUGUAGGAAUAAGGAUCGGCUAACUCCGUGCCAGCAGCCGCGGUAAUACGGAGGAUCCAAGCGUUAUCCGGAAUCAUUGGGUUUAAAGGGUCCGUAGGCGGUUUAAUAAGUCAGUGGUGAAAUCUGGUCGCUCAACGAUCAAACGGCCAUUGAUACUGUUAGACUUGAAUUAUUGGGAAGUAACUAGAAUAUGUAGUGUAGCGGUGAAAUGCUUAGAUAUUACAUGGAAUACCAAUUGCGAAGGCAGGUUACUAUCAAUAUAUUGACGCUGAUGGACGAAAGCGUGGGGAGCGAACAGGAUUAGAUACCCUGGUAGUCCACGCCGUAAACGAUGGAUACUAGCUGUUCGGAGCAAUCUGAGUGGCUAAGCGAAAGUGAUAAGUAUCCCACCUGGGGAGUACGUUCGCAAGAAUGAAACUCAAAGGAAUUGACGG